rnacentral:rRNA from 1 species
CCUACGGGGGGCAGCAGUGAGGAAUAUUGGUCAAUGGCCGAGAGGCUGAACCAGCCAAGUCGCGUGAGGGAAGACGGCCCUACGGGUUGUAAACCUCUUUUGUCGGGGAGCAAAGCGAACCACGUGUGGUUCUUUGAGAGUACCUGAAGAAAAAGCAUCGGCUAACUCCGUGCCAGCAGCCGCGGUAAUACGGAGGAUGCAAGCGUUACCCGGAAUCACUGGGCGUAAAGGGUGCGUAGGCGGGGUGAUAAGUCAGCUGUGAAAUCCUGUAGCUUAACUACAAAACUGCAUUUGAAACUGGUAGUCUGGAGUGUAGUAGAGGUAGGUGGAAUUCUUGGUGUAGGGGUAAAAUCCGUAGAGAUCAAGAAGAAUACUCAUUGCGAAGGCGACCUGCUGGAACAUUACUGACGCUGAUGCACGAAAGCGUGGGGAGCAAACAGGAUUAGAUACCCUAGUAGUC